UACGUAGGGGGCAAGCGUUGUCCGGAUUUAUUGGGCGUAAAGAGCGUGUAGGCGGCCAAGCAGGUCCGCUGUGAAAACUCGAGGCUCAACCUCGAGACGUCGGUGGAAACCGUUUGGCUAGAGUCCGGAAGAGGUGAGUGGAAUUCCGAGUGUAGAGGUGAAAUUCGUAGAUAUUCGGAGGAACACCAGUGGCGAAGGCGGCUCACUGGUCCAUUACUGACGCUGAGGUGCGAAAGCGUGGGGAGCAAACAGG
rnacentral:rRNA from 1 species